rnacentral:rRNA from 1 species
GACGAACGCUGGCGGCGUGCUUAACACAUGCAAGUCGAACGGAAAGGCCCUGCUUUUGUGGGGUGCUCGAGUGGCGAACGGGUGAGUAACACGUGAGUAACCUGCCCUUGACUUUGGGAUAACUUCAGGAAACUGGGGCUAAUACCGGAUAGGAGCUCCUGCUGCAUGGUGGGGGUUGGAAAGUUUCGGCGGUUGGGGAUGGACUCGCGGCUUAUCAGCUUGUUGGUGGGGUAGUGGCUUACCAAGGCUUUGACGGGUAGCCGGCCUGAGAGGGUGACCGGCCACAUUGGGACUGAGAUACGGCCCAGACUCCUACGGGAGGCAGAAGUGGGGAAUAUUGCACAAGGGGCGGAAGCCUGAUGCAGCAACGCCGCGUGCGGGAUGACGGCCUUCGGGUUGUAAACCGCUUGCGCCUGUGACGAAGCGUGAGUGACGGUAAUGGGUAAAGAAGCACCGGCUAACUACGUG